GCUGGGUGUGGUGAAGUGCGCCUGUAAUCCCAACUACUUGGGAGGCUGAGGCAGGAGAAUCACUUGAACCCAGGAGGCAGAGGUUGCAGUGAGCUGAGAUCGUGCCACUGCACUCCAGCCUGGGCAACAGAGUGAGACUCUGUCUCAA
rfam:Pan troglodytes isolate Yerkes chimp pedigree #C0471 (Clint) chromosome 11, whole genome shotgun sequence.